GCUAAGCUAGGCUGGGGAGGAUACACGUCAUAAAAAUCUCUGAGAAGUGAUGCUUUCUCUAUGACAUAAGAAGAAGUACUAUGAGCUAUGGCUCUGGAGAAUGAAAAGAGAGGGGACUGAAACAUCAGAAUCGCUGUAGACCUUACAGGGCGAGGGAGGCAGGAAGAAGGUGCAGGAGGAAGGGCAUCAAAUGGAAUUGGAGAUAGAGGCAGAGUGUGCAGGAGCUUUUAAAGCCUUGUAAAUAUUUUGGACAUUAUCCUGGUGGAAACUGGCGGCCUCUGAAGGAUUAACAGAGGAUUGCCAAGAUCAGGUUUGCAUGCUGAAAUGACCAUUCUGGUAGUAGCUUGGAGAAUGAACAGGAAGAAGGUCUCGCUCUCUUGCCCAAGCUGGAGUGCAGUGGCAUGGUCAGAGCUCACUGGGCUCAUGGCAGUCUUAAGAUCCCAGGCUCAAGUGAUCCUAGCAUCUCAUCCUCCUGAGUAGCUGGGACUACAGAGGCUGCUGACAGAGAUGCUUGAUUUUACAACUCACCUACACAGGUCCUCCCAUCAGGAGCCAGCUGCAGGCCAGGGGAUGGGCACUGGCACCGUAUUUGUCCUUUAACAACAUCACAGCCAUACUGACAGUUUGCCAUGGAGCAGGUCAGGGCACCUGGAAAGAGAGUGACUGGCUGACUCAGACAGAUAACCUAAAACUCUAUACCUCAAGAGUGGGGAAGAGGACUUGAUUUCUAAAAUCUACUUGGCAAAAGGCAUCAAACCCCCAAUUUCAGUUGCUUUGGAACUCCUGAAUUUGCCUACAUAUGAAAAAAGUUGUUUUGCUAUCUGUUUUUAGAACAUAUUUCAAAAUUCAGAAAAGAGAAAGAAAAGCAAUGAUACUCGAUGCAUUAAAAGGACAGCAGAGCUCCAUGCUUUUCAGAGCACAGAGAAUCAGCACCAGGUGGCAAUUCCUGCUGCUUGCUCAUGCUCAGGGCUGAAGGCUGGACACUCCUGGGCUAGUCUUCAGAACAUUUGCAAGAAGUGACAUAACUGCAGGAAGCCAUGCAGGUGGGAAGAGCAGACCACCUGGGACAAUGCACGCUCACCCCUUGA